UGUAACCAUCCUUUAGAAUACAAUCGAUAGUUUCGAGUGUGACUCUCAUUCAAGAUAAAAUAGGGUUGACGAUGGGAUGAGAAAGAGUCGAUGUCCCGACGACAAGAUUCAUCACAUCUCAACAACGCGAUGAAAAGUGUCCCAAUGAGGCAACAUGCCAUGUCACAACGUGGCAACGUGUUCCGUACUCAGUCGGCUCAUGUGAUUCCAUCACAUCAAGCCUAUUAGGCCAUGUGGUAACAAAUGUUGCAGAGCUGACAAGUAUAGAUCAAGAUCGUUCCGAUCGAAACCCUGUCGGAACAAAUUAUCCCGGCAUUCCUGAACAUGAUCUCCGGUUGCCUGUAAUGUUGGACCGUCCAUUCCACCAUAGCUUUGAUCUGCUCUUCAUCACUAACAUCAGAGUGGAUGUAGCGAUCACCACCACCACACGAGCACCUUGAUCAACGAGAAGACAGGCGGUGGUCUUGUCGAUGAUGCUGACUCCGCCGGUAAUGACGGCUACUUUGCCUUCUAGCUUGUUGUUGGACAUCGUUGGGCUUAUUCUUUUACAGUGGUUGCUUUAAUGGCCAUGUAAAGCUAAUCAUCACCACCCGUAUAGUGUUAUGGAUAAUUUGUUUUUUUUUUUAUAUAUAAUUAAAAGAUAAAAGAAAAGGAAUGGAUUGUGUUCACUGCUCACCAGUUUUCUCAUAAAUAAAUUAUUUUAAAGCGGAAAUACUUUAUGAAGGAAUA